GACGAACGCUGGCGGCGUGCUUAACACAUGCAAGUCGAACGGAAAGGCCCUGCUUUUGUGGGGUGCUCGAGUGGCGAACGGGUGAGUAACACGUGAGUAACCUGCCCUUGACUUUGGGAUAACUUCAGGAAACUGGGGCUAAUACCGGAUAGGAGCUCCUGCUGCAUGGUGGGGGUUGGAAAGUUUCGGCGGUUGGGGAUGGACUCGCGGCUUAUCAGCUUGUUGGUGGGGUAGUGGCUUACCAAGGCUUUGACGGGUAGCCGGCCUGAGAGGGUGACCGGCCACAUUGGGACUGAGAUACGGCCAAGACUCCUACGGGAGGCAGCAGUGGGGAAUAUUGCACAAUGGGCGGAAGCCUGAUGCAGCAACGCCGCGUGCGGGAUGACGGCCUUCGGGGUGUAAACCGCUUUCGCCUGUGACGAAGCGUGAGUGACGGUAAUGGGUAAAGAAGCACCGGCUAACUACGUG
rnacentral:rRNA from 1 species